AAGUAUGAUAUUUGAAUUCUCUUUUGAAUUCAAAACCAUCUGAUAUUGUGAUAUUAUUGAAAAAUUAAAUUUGGAUUUAAAGAUGAUAUUUUCUUUGUUCUUUUUUUAAAAAAAAGAACAAAGAAAGUAUCGAUCCAAUAUUUUGAUCAACUCUCUUAUUAUUUUGACUGAAUUUAAUCAAGUUUUUAAUCCAAUUUGGAUUAAAAAAAAAAGUUUUAAA
rnacentral:misc_RNA from 1 species